rnacentral:rRNA from 1 species
CCUACGGGUGGGCUGCAGUGGGGAAUAUUGGACAAUGGGGGGAACCCUGAUCCAGCCAUGCCGCGUGUGUGAAGAAGGCCCUCGGGUUGUAAAGCACUUUCAGUGAGGAAGAACGCCUGGUGGUUAAUACCCAUCAGGAAAGACAUCACUCACAGAAGAAGCACCGGCUAACUCCGUGCCAGCAGCCGCGGUAAUACGGAGGGUGCGAGCGUUAAUCGGAAUUACUGGGCGUAAAGCGCGCGUAGGUGGCUUGAUAAGCCGGUUGUGAAAGCCCCGGGCUCAACCUGGGAACGGCAUCCGGAACUGUCAAGCUAGAGUGCAGGAGAGGAAGGUAGAAUUCCCGGUGUAGCGGUGAAAUGCGUAGAGAUCGGGAGGAAUACCAGUGGCGAAGGCGGCCUUCUGGACUGACACUGACACUGAGGUGCGAAAGCGUGGGUAGCAAACAGGAUUAGAUACCCGAGUAGUC